CUAUGACUUUAUUUUGUUAUUGUGCAAAAUAUGAAUAAAUUAAAAAGUUUCGCUGAAUAAGUUUGUGUUUCGUUUCACGUUGUUCAUCGUUUUGUUUUUGUGUUAGUGUCAAACUAUGCCGUGUACCUACUAUGCAAAUGUACUCGUAAGUGAUGGAAAAACUCGUUAGUUAGAUAAGUUAAAAUUGUUAAAUAGUGACUGCUUCUAUUCAAUUCCCAAUUCUAUGUGAGAACACGGAUUAGAUUGUUGCCCAGUUGUUCCUAAAAUUUCUCCCCCAGACAUAUUCAUCUAUUUGGUCGAAACCAAAAGUCAUCAAAACCACUUGGAGGCCCUUGAUGCAUACAAGGGCAUUUCUUCUGAAUCACAGCUGGCUGUUAGAGAUGGCUGGGUUAGAGAGUUCAUGGCAAUUGCUCUCACAACCCAAGUUGUAUUGAUGAAGGCCAAGGUCUCACCUUCCCAAGCCUUAGACUUCCAGUGGCGUUUAGAAUUUCCAGUUUUUUCAAACGAAAAUUGAAAAACUUUUAUUAGCGUAGGUUCAAAAUGAACAAAUCUGCUAGCUGGAUCCCCGAAUUAAAUGAACAAGCGGACAUGGACCGCGAUAUCAUUUUUUGAUACAAGACGAGUAUAUAUCACAUGAGCAGAACUAUUGGCGGUCAACUCGAUUAACCACUUCAUGCACCAUAAAAGUUGUCUUCUUUUACAAAAUCCUUCGGGAAAUAACCAUCCUUAACCAAAAAGAAAUCAGAUAAAACAUCUCACAUACAAAACUAAAAUAGCACUUACAUGGUCAUUAAAUCUUCCUUUCCACCAUCCGUUUUCGUCUCCUUCCUUGCUCACCACGAUAAGAUGUUGUCCUUUAGAUAUCGACAACUGGUUAAGGUCAACGUCUUCGGGGAAAUAAUCUUUAAUGACUUGGGCAGUGGCAAACAAAUGUUUCCAAGGUACUUUUAAAUAAGCAUCCAACCUAAACGUUAAAAAUGAAGUACACCGUUUUAGUUUGCAUACAAUGCAAUAUCUCAGCCAAACCAAAACAAAUGCAUAAUUGGUUUCUACCCUUUGAAAGAUUCACGUAGGCUAUUGUGUUCAUAUCGAUUGAUUAGUUCCACUACUGAACGAAAAAGAAAACUUUCCGAGAGAAAAUAUCGUCCACCACCAUCAGAAGUGCGGACAACUUUCAUGUGUUUAACUUCCUCCCCUGUCCUAAGAAUAUUAUAAUAAUAAGAAAUGUGAUACGAUUAUUUCGGAAAUUCGGAAUUGGAAUACCUCAAGCUUAAUGCGUAUGUGUUAUCGUUGGAUUUAAAGCGUAAUAGGUAUGUCCCGAGAGGUGUGUUUCUUAACACUGCUUCAGCUGCCGAGCGUGUCAUUUCCCCAGCAAACCUUGAUUUUUGUAUGGCGACAUAAAAAAAGAUUCGUGAGAGUAUAUACACAAAAUUACUUAUAACAAAUAAACCAAGGAUAUCGAUCCAGUUCCAUAGGAUGUAAAGCAAGAGAAGAAAACUUAGGUCCAACAGGUCUGGGGCGUGGUGGAGGAAUAGGAACGCCGCAGCUUUUAGUCAUCAACGUGAGGCACUCUCUAUGAACAGCUACAUUGCAUUUGUUACAUUUAUAUCCCUAAUUAAAUUGAAUAGUCAUUAGAUAAUCGUGAAUAGUACUAAAAACCUUUUUGAUACGCAUUAUUAAUAUUCUAUGAUUCAGAUAUUUAACCUGGAAAAAAGAUCCUUUUAGCAGCUUUCUGCAUCGGUGGCACGAAGUUGAAUUUGGAAAGGUGUAGAGCUCAUAGCUGUGGUCUGUUCCCCACGAUUCAGGGGGAUUUAAUUUUUCCCUGGAAAGUAUUGUACCAGUUAAACACACUAAAAUCCUUUUUACCGUUUCGAAUAGUUACUGACAAAGUUUCACUAAAGGCUCCUAUCCAUUUAUUCUUUGCUUCCGCCGAUUUCGCAUACAAGGUGUAAGCGGUUUUAUUUUGAUUGUCAACUAGAAGCCAUUGGUGGCUCCAGCGGGCUUCUUUCCCAUUUUGAUUUCUACUAGCUGGGUGGUACUCCAACUUGAAUUUUUCAAGUGAUAAGAAUAAUUUGAAUGAAUACUGGUCUCCCUAGAUUAAAUAAUAAAAAAAAAAAAAAAA
rnacentral:lncRNA from 1 species